CUACGGGCUGCACCAGUGAGGAAUAUUGCACAAUGGGGGGAACCCUGAUGCAGCAACGCCGCGUGGAGGAUGACGCAUUUCGGUGUGUAAACUCCUUUUAUAUGUCAAGAAAAUGACGGUAGCAUAUGAAUAAGCACCGGCUAACUCCGUGCCAGCAGCCGCGGUAAUAAGGAGGGUGCAAGCGUUACUCGGAAUCACGGGGCGUAAAGGACGCGUAGGCGGGUUGGAAAGUCAGGUGUGAAAUCCUACAGCUUAACUGUAGAACUGCACUUGAAACUUCUAAUCUAGAGUAUGGGAGGGGGAGAUGGAAUUAGUGGUGUAGGGGUAAAAUCCGUAGAUAUCACUAGGAAUACCUAAAGCGAAGGCGAUCUCCUGGAACAUUACUGACGCUAAGGCGUGAAAGCGUGGGGAGCAAACAGGAUUAGAUACCCCCGUAGUC
rnacentral:rRNA from 1 species